rnacentral:rRNA from 1 species
CCUACGGGAGGCAGCAGUGGGGAAUUUUGGACAAUGGGCGAAAGCCUGAUCCAGCCAUGCCGCGUGCAGGAUGAAGGSCUUCGGGUUGUAAACUGCUUUUGUACGGAACGAAAAGACUCUGGUUAAUACCUGGGGUCCAUGACGGUACCGUAAGAAUAAGCACCGGCUAACUACGUGCCAGCAGCCGCGGUAAU